UGAAUUUAAGCAUAUCACUAAGCGGAGGAAAAGAAACUAACAAGGAUUCCCCUAGUAGCGGCGAGCGAAGAGGGAAGAGCCCAGCACCGAACCUCGCGCCCUCGGGUGUCGCGGAAUGUGGUGUUCAGGAGGACCGUGCGCGUCUGUCCGGUAUCGUCCAAGUCUCCAUGAAUGGGGCCAGCAACCCAGAGAGGGUGUCAGGCCCGUGGGACGAGCCGCGACCGUGUAUUGGGUCUCUCCUUAGAGUCGGGUUGCUUGAGAGUGCAGCCCUAAGCGGGAGGUAAACUCCUUCUAAGGCUAAAUACGGCCACGAGACCGAUAGCAAACAAGUACCGCGAGGGAAAGUUGAAAAGAACUUUGAAGAGAGAGUUCAAGAGUGCGUGAAACCGUUCAGGGGGUUAAACGGGUGGGCCCUCGAAGGUCGAACGGUCCCCACUCCCGUCACCUGUAGUGCCGGCCCGUGCUGCUUUUCGAUUCCGCUACGGAACGAGGCUUGGUGCGGUUCGCCGGUCUACGGGGGCCGCUAGCUGGGGACCCAGUAGGACUCCGCAACCGGCUGGGAGGCCGUCAGAAGGGUUCUGUGAGGAAGCCCCCUCGUUGGGGUGGAUUCCGGGAUUCCGGGCGGUCCUCUCGGCCGUGAACCAAAAUUUCUCUCCUCACGGGGAGAAUGAGCGGAGAGUAGAGUCGGGUCCCACCCGACCCGUCUUGAAACACGGACCAAGGAGUCUAACAUGUGCGCGAGUCGUCGGGUACUACUAAACCCGAAGGCGUAAUGAAAGUGAAGGCCGCCCUUGUUGGCGGCCGAGGGGAGAUCCCGUUCUGCUCCGGUAGCUCGGGCGCAUCCCCGGGGCGUCGAAGCCGCGUUGCCGGCUAGACGAACCAAGAGCGUACACGUUGGGACCCGAAAGAUGGUGACCUAUGCCUGGCCAGGACGAAGCCAGGGGAAACCCUGGUGGAGGUCCGCAGCGAUUCUGACGUGCAAAUCGAUCGUCUGAGUUGGGUAUAGGGGCGAAAGACUAAUCGAACCAUCUAGUAGCUGGUUCCCCCCGAAGUUCCCUCAGAAG
rnacentral:rRNA from 1 species